CCCCUUUCAGACUGCGUGAACGCGCACUGCGCUGAAGUUGAGCAUGCGCGCCCCCGACACCGCUCUGCCUCCCUGUGAACUUGCAUAAAGAGAGAGUGUGAUGGCGUCCACUAGUUUCCUCUAGAACACCUUUGGAUCCCAUUAGGAAACCACAAAAUGUAUUUAGAAGCAGCCGGGUAAACCAUUAGGACCCUUCACACUGUGAUAUCAACCCAUCAGAGAAGUAAAACACUUCACAAAACCACCAGGAAACAACAGAAACACUGGUUUCUACAGGUUUUUUCAGCAGGAACCAGACGGUGUUGGGUCUGCACUACAAAUAUCACCAUUUUAUCUGCUACCUGAAAUGACUAGUGAACUUACAGGUGUCGAAAAUUCACACACCAGCAGUUUCACUACAGCAGAACCUGGAAUCAAGCUAUAACAGCUUCAGCUCUUCUGGGAAGCCUUUCCACAAGGUUCAGGAGUGUGUUCGUGUGAAUUUUUGACCGUUCUUCCAGAAAUGCA